AAAGCAAAGCCGCUCACCACUCCCUGCCUGAAUCAAAGGAGCAGCUUAGGUGCUAGCCUUACUUACCCUAGAAAGUCUCAUUAUGUGAGCAAUAAAUCUUCUCAUACCCUCUUGGUACAUGUGUGCAGUCAUCAGUUUUGACAUCCAAACAAAUUUUCCUCAGAUGGGAUCCACCCCACGCUCCGCAAAGCAACCAUAAGACAGUGGGGGUAACAGUGUAGAAAUACUACUCUGUGGAGGCCUUUGAGGAAAAGCACUGAGGCUGAGACCUGAAGGAGAAGGAUCUGGUUUCUUAAGAAGCCAGAGGAAAGAGAAUCCCAAGCAGGGCUAGUGGUACCUGGCUGUACAGAAAUGAAAGUGACAAGGUCCUGGUGCAGUCGGUCUGUAUACAGAUCAGAGGGCAGAUUCUGCAAAAGCUGGGGAUGUGGUACGAAGCAGCAGAGUUAAUAUGGGCCUCCAUUGUAGGAUAUUUGGCACUUCCUCAGCCGGAUAAAAAGGGCCUCUCCACGUCGCUAGGUAUACUGGCAGACAUCUUUGUUUCCAUGAGCAAGAACGAUUAUGAAAAGUUUAAAAACAA
rnacentral:lncRNA from 10 species